CCUACGGGAGGCAGCAGUGGGGAAUAUUGCACAAUGGGGGAAACCCUGAUGCAGCGACGCCGCGUGAGGGAAGAAGGAAUUCGGUAUGUAAAGCUCUAUCAGCAGGGAAGAAAAUGACGGUACCUGAGUAAGAAGCCCCGGCUAACUACGUGCCAGCAGCCGCGGUAAUACGUAGGGGGCAAGCGUUAUCCGGAUUUACUGGGUGUAAAGGGAGCGUAGACGGGAGUGCAAGUCUGGAGUGAAAGGCGGGGGCUCAACCCCCGGACUGCUCUGGAAACUGUACGGCUGGAGUGCAGGAGAGGUAAGUGGAAUUCCUGGUGUAGCGGUGAAAUGCGUAGAUAUUAGGAGGAACACCAGUGGCGAAGGCGGCUUACUGGACUGUAACUGACGUUGAGGCUCGAAAGCGUGGGGAGCAAACAGGAUUAGAUACCCUAGUAGUC
rnacentral:rRNA from 1 species